rnacentral:rRNA from 1 species
GAUGAACGCUGGCGGCGUGCUUAACACAUGCAAGUCGAACGGAAAGGCCGAAGCUUGCUUCGGUACUCGAGUGGCGAACGGGUGAGUAACACGUGGGUGAUCUGCCCUGUACUUCGGGAUAAGCUUGGGAAACUGGGUCUAAUACCGGAUAUGACGAUCUCUUGGAUGGGGUUGUGGAAAGCUUUUGCGGUAUGGGAUGAGCUCGCGGCCUAUCAGCUUGUUGGUGGGGUAAUGGCCUACCAAGGCGUCGACGGGUAGCCGGCCUGAGAGGGUGUACGGCCACAUUGGGACUGAGAUACGGCCCAGACCCCUACGGGAGGCAGCAGUGGGGAAUAUUGCACAAUGGGCGCAAGCCUGAUGCAGCGACGCCGCGUGGGGGAUGACGGCCUUCGGGUUGUAAACUCCUUUCGCAAUCGACGAAGCCUUUUGGUGACGGUAGGUUGAGAAGAAGCACCGGCUAACUACGUG